GCAUGGUAAUGGAUUUAUGGUGGGCCCUUUAAUGUGGGCCUUUCAUAGUGUACCCAUGCUAGAGUAAACUGCAGCCUCAAACCAUUGCCUAGCCUCCUCAGCCGUGGGCUGUGAGCACUGAAGGGGUUUGCACAUUG
rnacentral:snoRNA from 1 species